GACGAACGCUGGCGGCGUGCCUAAUACAUGCAAGUUGAGCGCUGAAGGUUGGUUCUUGUACCAACUGGAUGAGCAGCGAACGGGUGAGUAACGCGUGGGGAAUCUGCCUUUGAGCGGGGGACCACAUUUGGAAACGAAUGCUAAUACCGCAUACAAACUUUAAACACAAGUUUUAAGUUUGAAAGAUGCAAUUGCAUCACUCAAAGAUGAUCCCGCGUUGUAUUAGCUAGUUGGUGAGGUAAAGGCUCACCAAGGCGAUGAUACAUAGCCGACCUGAGAGGGUGAUCGGCCACAUUGGGACGGGGACACGGCCCAAGCUCCUACGGGAGGGAGCAGUAGGGAAUCGUCGGCAAUGGAGGAAAGUCUGGCCGAACAACGCCGCGUGAGGGGAGAAGGUUUUCGGAGCGUAAAACUCUGUUGGUAGAGGAGAACGUUGGUGAGAGUGGAAAGCUCAUCAAGUGACGGUAACUACACAGAAAGCGACGGCUAACUACGUG
rnacentral:rRNA from 1 species